rnacentral:rRNA from 1 species
GACCUGAGCUCAGGCAAGAUUACCCGCUGAACUUAAGCAUAUCAAUAAGCGGAGGAAAAGAAACUAACCAGGAUUCCCCUAGUAACGGCGAGCGAACCGGGAAUAGCCCAACUUGAAAAUCUCCCUUUGGAGAAUUGUAGUCUACAGAAGUGCCCUCUGUGGCGGGUGGAGCUCAAGUCCGCUGGAAGGCGGCGUCAGAGAGGGUGAGAACCCCGUCGGCUCCAUCUUAGCUACACCACGAGGUGCUUUCCACGAGUCGGGUUGUUUGGGAAUGCAGCCCUAAAUUGGAGGUAAAUCCCUUCUAAGCUAAAUAACGCGA